rnacentral:rRNA from 1 species
AUUGAACGCUGGCGGCAUGCUUUACACAUGCAAGUCGAACGGUAACAGGUUAAGCUGACGAGUGGCGAACGGGUGAGUAAUGCAUCGGAACGUGCCCGAUCGUGGGGGAUAACGCAGCGAAAGCUGCGCUAAUACCGCAUACGAUCUGAGGAUGAAAGCGGGGGACCGUAAGGCCUCGCGCGAUUGGAGCGGCCGAUAUCAGAUUAGGUAGUUGGUGAGGUAAAGGCUCACCAAGCCAACGAUCUGUAGCUGGUCUGAGAGGACGACCAGCCACACUGGAACUGAGACACGGUCCAGACUCCUACGGGAGGCAGCAGUGGGGAAUUUUGGACAAUGGACGCAAGUCUGAUGCAGCAACGCCGCGUGAGGGACGACGGCCUUCGGUUGUAACCGUCUUUAGUAGGAGAAGCGAAAGUGACGGUACC